UGCCCAGCAACUCCUAUCCCUACCUCCUCGUGGUACCGGCCGGAAACUAUGAGUAACCUUAGGGAAGAUUGUGUAACCAACCACGGUGGGAACUUUCGACAAAGACUGACAGGGAAGG
rnacentral:ribozyme from 1 species